rnacentral:rRNA from 1 species
UACGUAGGGGGCGAGCGUUGUCCGGAAUCAUUGGGCGUAAAGAGCGUGUAGGCGGCUUGGCAAGUCUGACGUGAAAGCCCGCGGCUCAACCGCGGAUUGUCGUUGGAAACUGCCUCGCUAGAGUCCAGAAGAGGAGAGCGGAAUUCCUGGUGUAGCGGUGGAAUGCGCAGAUAUCAGGAAGAACACCCGUGGCGAAGGCGGCUCUCUGGGACGGUACUGACGCUGAGACGCGAAAGCGUGGGGAGCGAACAGG